CUUCCCUGACCCGAAGUUGUAUUCUAGUGCACUCUCUCUACAAUGGACCACUAUCUUUUCCACACGUUACUUACCUAAGUCCCUACUGACUUACCCCCUAAGGUGCUUCAGGAAUUCUGUACUUCUAACCUGCUCUCAAAUGCCCUGUUUUAAAAGCUCUGGAAUUCACCCUGAUAUCUACAAGUUGCUGCUAAAUGGGAAAAACUUAGCUUAGUACUGAUAGAUGACUUUAUUGGAAGUGGAACUGAACAAGUACUCCUACUUUUUAAGGACUCCUUGAACUCAGACUGCCUGACUUCAUUUAAAAUAA
rnacentral:lncRNA from 1 species